UGGGAUGCCUGCCUCUAUCCUCCUCUCUACAGGUUGGAAAGGUUGCUGACUGUAUUCAGGACUCCCUGAAUAGUAAUGGCGGUGUGCCACAUCCUGGCUGUGACAAACAGAAAACUGAUGAUGCUGUCCACAGGCACCAGGGUCUCCUGAGGGAGCUGCAGGAGCUGGCCCAGGAGGGUAAGUCUGACUACAGUUAUUAGCUAAUACUUUACUACUGAAGUACCCAGGGACAGACUGGGAUCAGAAAUGAGUCUGGGUAUUUCUAACACACCUGUCCAUUUUUUUCUUUGAAUUAUAAUUUGGCGCAAAACCCCCAAAUUAGAAAGGCCCAUUGGGCUUCAAAUGGAUCGGCACUUCUGGGCUACUUCCAUCUCUGGAAGUAGACCUGCCAAUGGUGUCAUCAUCACAGUAAUAUGGAAUAUCAAAACAUACUGACUUAUUGAGAGAAACAGUCUAAUUGCUGCAAUAUCUUUGCUAUGCUAUGUUGGUUUCAGAGUCAGGUAAUUAUACAUGGAAAUCACAUGGAAAUCAAGAUAAAAAUCUUCCUAAACAUGUUUUGUUGAACUUGCUGUAAUAUGCUUUAAAUUGUACAGUAACUAACCACCUAAAUGUAUUUUAUUCUUACAGAAAGGGAAAGAGAGAGAGAGUAUGGGAGGGAGAAAGAGCGAAAUGAGGAGAACCAGGCUGAGGGAGAGAGGGACAGAGAGAGGAGGGAGGAGGAGGAGCAGAAUGAUGACCAGAAGGAGACUGAGAAAGAAGAACUGAGAGAGAAAGAGAUGAAGGCAGAAGGGGUAGAGGAGGAGGAGGAGAAGGUGGAGAUUAAGGACAGAACGAAUGGGGAGAUGAGAGAAGAGCCCAGACUGGAGGAGAAAAGGGGGGAUGAGGAAGAGAACGUGAAAGAGCUGGAGGAGCUCUUCUCAAAGGAGCAGAGGAAGAUAGGAGAGGAGGAAAAAGAGGACAGGGAGCUCGAGGAGCUGCUCAAGGAGCUGAAGAAGAAAAGGUACGAGUCGGUGAAGGAGAAAGAGCUCCAGAGAGGGUCAGAAGCAGAGGAGGAGAGGAAGAAGGAGGAGGAGCCGAAAAAGGGAGAGAGAGAGCGGCUGGAAAUUCUUGAGAUUGAAGAGAGGAAACGCAGCAAGGAGAGGAACAACAACGAGGUGGAGCUGCUGGUGGAGAAAGAGAAGGUGGAGCGGGAGCUCAAGGAGCUGCUGGAGGAACAGGACAGCAAGAAGAACGUGGAGAAGGAGAAAGAGAGGGAGGAAAAACAGGAGGAACUAGCGGAGCUCCUCAAAAAGAUGAAACGUGUGCAAGAGGAGGAGGAGGAGAGAGAAGAGGAGGAGAAAAGACAAACUGCCAGGGAUGAGGCGAAGGUGGACAACGAGAGCGAGAAGGAGGGAGAGAUUCGCAAGGAAUUGGAGAAGGUGAAAGCGGGAGAGAGUGAGAAGGAGGUUAAGGAUCCUCAGCAGAAGAGAGUGAUGGAGAAAGCGAGUGAUGAGUCGACCCGUCAGUUUGAAAAGGAGAGGAACAGGGACGAUGACGAUGAUGAAGAAGCAGAUGAGGUUGAAAACAAUGAGGAUUGGGAAGAGGAAGAGGAGGAUGAGGACAAAAAGGAGGAUGUUGAGCAGGAUGAAGGAGAAGAGCUUCUGGAGAUUGAGGCAGAGCUGAGAAAAGUGGCUGCAGAGCUUCGGGAGCUUCACAGGGGUCGUUAA
rnacentral:lncRNA from 8 species